rnacentral:rRNA from 1 species
UACGGAGGGUGCAAGCGUUGCUCGGAAUUAUUGGGCGUAAAGGGUAGGUAGGUGGUCUCAUUUGUCUGGGGUGGAAGCCUUGAGCUUAACUCAAGAAGUGCCCCAGAAACGGUGAGACUAGAGUCCUGGAGAGGGUCGUGGAAUUCCCGGUGUAGCGGUGAAAUGCGCAGAUAUCAGGAGGAACACCGAUGGCGAAGGCAGGUCUCUGGGCCGAUACUGACGCUGAGGAGCGAAAGCGUGGGGAGCGAACAGG